UGGAGGCUUCAAUUGAUGAUGUCAAAUGAAGUGAAGGAUAAACAGAAAUAAGUAUUUGCAGGACUUAUUUAAUAUUGACACAUUGGUGGAACAGAACAGUUUAGUCCUCCAGAGUCAUGUUUUGUUGCAGUGUAGACAAGAGUUAGACCUACAAAGCAUACCUUCUACAACAUUGGGUCUCAAAUGUUGGUCAUCCAGGUGUUUUGGACUUCAGCUCCCAGAAGCCCCAGCUUGACCAAUGGUCAGGGAUUCUAGGAGAGGAAGUCCAAAAUAUUGUGGCCAAACCAAUGACUGAGAACCACUGUACUACAGAAUUGUCAUCUGUGUCAUUAUAAACCAUGUCCCCAAAACUAAGUCAUUUGCUAAGUACAGGUUUUGUUUUUCCUACAAACCAAAGAUUCCUGAGACAAAGAAUGCAUUAAAAAAUCUGUUGGGUUCCCUGCUGCCCAUAGUGACACUAUUUUGUUCCUUACUGGGACAAAACAUGUCUCAUGCUAUUUCUCAGCAAACUGUGAUGCAGCAGAGCACAAGUUACACACUCUGGUUGUCAGCAGGUUAUCGGUAUGUAGAUUUGGGAAAAAUCACAAUUCUUUCCUUGAUGUGGACACAAUGGAAUCCACUGGAUUUCAGAAAUACCUCAUAAUAUCAAAGUAUAUGCUUUGCUUUUUAGAAUCUGGUUUUAUUUUGUUUUUAUUCCCCUCUGUACCUUAUGGCUCAGGAAGUUUGGGGGCACACACUUGACUCUGCACAUGCAAAAUUUACACCGAGGAUUUACAUCAGAGUUGUACAAAAUGUAUCCUAAGAGAAGGCACAUGACAUGGUUCUGAAGGCAUGGGCUGGGUAAAUAAUAGCUUUGUUUCCGAUGUCAGGGUCUUUCAUCUCACAUUCCAGAGGGGAAAGGCAAUUGUCCUUGUGCUUUGGCGGCGGUCAUUGUCAUCACUACCAUCACCACAAAUGCUAUGGCUUAUUGGAAUGUCAACAAAUAAACUCAAGCAGCACUGAAGUCCUAAAAUAAAGAGAAAAUGUGUUCCAGAUGUGAUGUGGAGCAGCAGGGACAUGUGCAUCAGGAAAUGAAGGAUCUCCUGCUUUCUACUGCUCUGGAUUUGCCAGUUUCAAUAUGGAGAAUUUGAUGGGCAACCAUGAGGACAAGUUAGCACUCUGGCAGCUUACACUUGACUUUAGUUGAGUCUUUUGCUUAAAAGUGAAGCAAAAGAAACAAGAGACAUACCACCCAAUAUUUUACAGAUGAAGACCAGGACACAUGUGACCAUGCAACAUCCAUGUUUGGUCAAGGUGGGAAACGUUAUCAAUGAGGAGAAACAGACAAACUAGGAGAGGCCACAGCAGUUUCCUCUCCCUCUGCUGAGUUAGAUGAGUGCAAACUACUUUCCCACUUUGAACUCAGUUUGCAGAAAUUGAAAUAAGCCAAUGACAAAGGAGGAAAGUGGGAGGAGGAGAGGGAAAUAGGGACAUUUUAAAAGCAACUGAAAAAGUAGAACAGCAGAGGAUUAUUUAGGACUAUCCUUGCCAAAUCAAGACAACUGGAGGGUAAAAGUAGAUGUGGCAAGGAUAUAACGGACUUUCCCUGUUUCCUGAUUGAAGAGGCUUUGCAGCUUCUCCUGCUUGGAGCUGCUAUUUGUCUCUCCCCUCCCCAAUGCUAUUUGCAUUUGAAUAGUUAAGGAUUAGUUAUCAAUUGUUCCCAGGUGCCUGUGAUCUUUCUUCAGCUAAGUCGGCCUCCACCAGGGGCCUGCUUCUUUCACAAUCUUUUCUUAAUUAAUUGUUCUGUAUUGUCCAAGUGUGUCAGGCUUCCCAAAUCCUGCAUGUUACACUUCAUUCAUGGCACAUACAGGCUCCUCCCACCAUUAAUAACUGGUAUGCACUUUAAAACUGAACGUAGAUCUCUAGUAUAAAUGUUACUGCUGGAAUCCUUUUAAAAAUACAAAUAGAGAAGAAAUGGCAGGAUUUCAAGAAUGAGGCACGCAGGUUCAAGCAGAACCAGGAUAAAAAGUGUUGUGAACAUACAGGCAGGAUAUGACAAUAGAGAUGGUAAUUAUGUUUGGAUGUAUUCAGUUUUCAUUUUUAAAAUGUAUAACAAAUUCAAGAUAUACAUAGAGAUGUAAAGGCCCAGAGUGGGGGGAAAGAGAGAAAAAAAUAAGAAUAAAUAGAUCCCCCCCCCAUUUUUUAAACAAGAAAAUGGGAGAAUGGAUUAUGGAAUGUUAUCUUUUAAAAUAGUGAAUAAUUUUUUAAAAAGAUGAUGCUCACAUAUUUUCUGAUCCCAGAUGAUUUCUAAAAACUGGUGUAUAUUAUCACUUCAUUAUAGUUCUUGGACUUGGUUUCCUUUCCUUAUUUCUUCUUAUGGGAAUGAGUGUGUGAUAGACACUAUGGAGAACUAGUAGAGGCAACGUAAUUCCCCGUUUUAUUAAUAUUGAUGGUUCCUUCUGUUUUAUUGUCUUUCUUUCUUUCUUUCUUUCUUUCUUUCUUUCUUUCUUUUUGUCUGCUUGUUAAAUUGGCAAAACCAAAGAGGCUUCUUGUAUUUCAGCUGUUUGAUACAGUUCAGAAUGCUAUAGCUCCAUUUAUAACAAUAAAACCCUCCCAAAUAAAGCAAAACUAAAUUCAGUCUGCAAUUGUAUUCUGAACAAGCUGUAGUUUCAAUAUAUUGGACAUGGUAAUUUCAUGAUAAAUCAGGUUAUAUAAU